AGUCGAGCGGCAGCACGGGUACUUGUACCUGGUGGCGAGCGGCGGACGGGUGAGUAAUGCCUAGGAAUCUGCCUGGUAGUGGGGGAUAACGCUCGGAAACGGACGCUAAUACCGCAUACGUCCUACGGGAGAAAGCAGGGGACCUUCGGGCCUUGCGCUAUCAGAUGAGCCUAGGUCGGAUUAGCUAGUUGGUGAGGUAAUGGCUCACCAAGGCGACGAUCCGUAACUGGUCUGAGAGGAUGAUCAGUCACACUGGAACUGAGACACGGUCCAGACUCCUACGGGAGGCAGCAGUGGGGAAUAUUGGACAAUGGGCGAAAGCCUGAUCCAGCCAUGCCGCGUGUGUGAAGAAGGUCUU
rnacentral:rRNA from 1 species